rnacentral:rRNA from 1 species
UACGAAGGGGGCUAGCGUUGCUCGGAAUGACUGGGCGUAAAGGGCGUGUAGGCGGCUUGCACAGUCAGGCGUGAAAUUCCUGGGCUCAACCUGGGGACUGCGCUUGAGACGUGUGGGCUUGAGUGGGGAAGAGGGUCGUGGAAUUCCCGGUGUAGCGGUGAAAUGCGUAGAGAUCGGGAGGAACACCAGUGGCGAAGGCGGCUACCUGGACCAGCACUGACACUGAGGCACGAAAGCGUGGGGAGCGAACAGG